GACGAACGCUGGCGGCGUGCUUAACACAUGCCAGUCGAACGGAAAGGCCCUGCUUUUGUGGGGUGCUCGAGUGCCAAACGGGUGAGUAACACGUGGGUAACCUGCCCUUGACUUUGGGUUAACUUAAGGAAACUGGGGCUAAUCCCGGAAAGGAGCUCCUGCUGCUUGGUGGGGGUUGGAAAGUUUCGGCGGUUGGGGAUGGACUCGCGGCUUAUCAGCUUGUUGGUGGGGUAGUGGCUUACCAAGGCUUUGACGGGUAGCCGGCCUGAGAGGGUGACCGGCCACAUUGGGACUGAGAUACGGCCCAGACUCCUACGGGAGGCAGCAGUGGGGAAUAUUGCACAAUGGGCGGAAGCCUGAUGCAGCAACGCCGCGUGCGGGAUGACGGCCUUCGGGUUGUAAACCGCUUUCGCCUGUGACGAAGCGUGAGUGACGGUAAUGGGUAAAGAAGCACCGGCUAACUACGUG
rnacentral:rRNA from 1 species